CUUCUACUCGUCCAUAACUCCACUGAGAGCGGGGCGAGCAGGCGGAGAGGCUAGGCCACACGAUUCUCCUCUCGCUUUUAGCUUCCAACUCCAAGUCUCGCUCUCGCUUUUAGCUUCCAACUCCAAGCCUUUCUCCUCUCGCUUUUAGCUUCCAACUUGGUCAGGAACUAGGGUUUGUGUGAUCUUCUGUCCAAGUCUCGCCGUGGUCAGGAGCUAGGGUUUGCGUGAUCUUCGGGGGAGGAGGGGGCAAGAGAGAGUUUGAGGAAGAGGAGGAGAAGAUGAUCGAGGACCGGUGGAUCCUCUCUUGUGGCAUGCCAUGGCGCUGGCCAUAGCUACGAACAAAGCCAAGCAGGAGUUCAGCACAUAUGCGGUAUGGUCAAGCUUAGCAUUGGCUACAUGAUGAUUAUCAAUUCCUUUAAUUACCAUGAAUUGUUCAUGUAGACCCCCCAAGCCCCGCUAUCUAGUAGCAUAAACAGUGUUGUUUACUCUGGAAAAAUAUAAAGUUCAUUCCUUCCUAAGUUCCAAUGAGAACUUCAGCCCUACAAGUGUCUUCAGAACAGAGAACAGCAUGAUUCAUGAUCCUCCUAUAGUUUAGUCUAUCUAGGUACUCUGGUGAAUCCUGAAACAUUUCGAACAGUCAAACAUGCAUGGUUGCUGCAAUUUUUGAGA